rnacentral:rRNA from 1 species
AAGUAGAAUUCCAGGUGUAGCGGUGAAAAUGCGUAGAGAUCUGGAGGAAUACCGAUGGCGAAGGCAGCUUUCCUGGCAUCAUACUGACACUGAGGCUCGAAAGCGUGGGUAGCAAACAGGAUUAGAUACCCUGGUAGUCCACGCCGUAAACGAUGUCUACUAGUCGUUGGGUCCCUUGAGGACUUAGUGACGCAGCUAACGCAAUAAGUAGACCGCCUGGGGAGUACGGCCGCAAGGUUAAAACUCAAAUGAAUUGACGGGGGCCCGCACAAGCGGUGGAGCAUGUGGUUUAAUUCGAUGCAACGCGAAGAACCUUACCUGGUCUUGACAUACACAGAAUCUUGUAGAGAUACGAGAGUGCCUUCGGGAAUUGUGAUACAGGUGCUGCAUGGCUGUCGUCAGCUCGUGUCGUGAGAUGUUGGGUUAAGUCCCGCAACGAGCGCAACCCUUGUCCUUAGUUACCAGCGGGUUAAGCCGGGAACUCUAAGGAUACUGCCAGUGACAAACUGGAGGAAGGCGGGGACGACGUCAAGUCAUCAUGGCCCUUACGACCAGGGCUACACACGUGCUACAAUGGUAGGUACAGAGGGCAGCUACACAGCGAUGUGAUGCGAAUCUCAAAAAGCCUAUCGUAGUCCAGAUUGGAGUCUGCAACUCGACUCCAUGAAGUAGGAAUCGCUAGUAAUCGCGGAUCAGAAUGCCGCGGUGAAUACGUUCCCGGGCCUUGUACACACCGCC